rnacentral:lncRNA from 1 species
CUGGGGCAUUCUGAUCUGAAGUGGUCCGACUUCUUGCACUCAUAACAAAUGAUGGGCUGAUCUUUUUCUUUUUCUUUAUAUGGCUCUUCCUUAGUUGGUGGUCUUCUCUUGAUCCCUUAUCUCUUUCUCCUCAUAAAGCAUCUAAAUUUUUUGAUGAUCAGGGCCAAUUCUUUAUCUUCCUCUUUAUUGUCUAAUUUUUCUAUAUUUUCUUCUUCCUGAGCUG